AAGGGAAAGCUGAUGCCAUCGCUGGGGGGUUCUCCAGUGCCAGGAGUCUUCAGUGAGCCCUCACCACCCCCAGGCUGCUGGUUUGGCUCAGGAAAGGAGGACACUGGUCUGGUCUUCUUGGCAAUGCUGGAAGUUAAGGAUUGGUCUCAGUUUGGUCUCUUUUCAUUGCUUUGAGAGAAAGUUCAUAGCCAAGAAACAUGGCUGAACUCGUUGGAAAUCCUCGCACUGCAUUGAUUGUGA
rnacentral:lncRNA from 1 species